GAUGAACGCUAGCGGCAGGCUUAAUACAUGCAAGUCGAGGGGCAUCAAGGUACACGAAAGUGUAUUGUUGGCGACCGGCGGACGGGUGAGUAAUAGGUAGGUAACCUACCUCAUACUGAGGCAUAGCUGGGAGAAAUUCCAGGUAAUUCCUCAUGAGGUUAUAUGACACAUGUGAUAUAAUCAAAGGUAUCGCAAGGUACUGGUAUGAGAUGGGCUUACUGACCAUUAGCUAGUUGGUGAGAUAAGAGCUCACCAAGGCGAAGAUGGUUAGGGGUUUUGAGAGAGAGACUCCCCCACAUUGGAACUGAGAUACGGUCCAGACUCCUACGGGAGGCAGCAAGUAGGGAAUAGUUGGGCAAGUGGGCGGAAGCCUGACCCAGCCAUGCCGCGUGAAGGAAGACGGCCUUAUGGGUUGUAAACUUCUUUACUAUGCGACUAACUAGAUUUACGAGAUAAUUCUAUAGAAUGUAGCAUAGACAAAAAGCACCGGUA
rnacentral:rRNA from 1 species